rnacentral:lncRNA from 1 species
UCAAAAGAACCUGACUUCCUUUCCCAAGAUUUUGCCAUUUCCUUCAUAAUAUAAAAGCCCUUUUUUCAAGCAUUUUCCUUCAUUUUCAUUUUUUUCUCUCUAAGAAACUGAUCUCUCUUUUUUCUUUGUAGGUUCCAAAGGAAAUAAACCAAAAGCUUUAAUUACUUAGAUUUUGAUGUUGGAGAUUCAAUCGCAUCACCGUCGUAGACACCGUACUCCGUUACCGACCGAUCACUAGUUCCUACUAAAUUUCAUGGCAGCGUUAGUUUUGGCCUACUCUUUCAAGUGGUACGGUUGGUUUCUUCAAAAUCUUACUAGACUUAUGUGGAUCUGAUUUUGAAAACUAUGAGUUCAACCUCUAAGAUCUUUUCCUCCACCACUCCGUUCAUUACUGCUUCAAGGUAUGUUCUUCCCUUCUUUUUGGCUUCCUCAUUAUAAAAUUUUUAAGACUCAAUUCCCCUUUGACCAUUAGAGCCCAAAUCUCAUGAAGGAUAAGGCUUUCUUUUCAUUUUUUAGUGUUAUUGCUGCAAUGUUUGUUACUGUGUUUAUUUGUUUUCCUUUACAGGUGUGUGUUUGAUGGCCAAAGAGAGCUAGGGUGAUGCUGAUUUAGUUAUUGAUUUUGGUGGUUGUAGGUUCUUGUUUUUUGUUUGCAGGAUCAUGGCUUUCUUAGGAUUGGGUUUGUUUGCCGAGUUGGUUUGCAAGGAAUUAGGUUUCUUUGUGUGGGACUUGGUUCCCGGUGGUAUAAGGUCUUUGAGUCUGUGACUCUAAUGAAAACAAGGUCAGGUACUUGGCUCUUGAGGAUGGUGGCAGUGGCCAAAGUAGGAGGAACUAUAAUAGAGAUUUGAGGGAAUUGGUGUGACGAUGGUUUAACUAGAAAUAGGGAAUAGCUUGAGAGACAAUUCAGUCUGGCCAUAGGUUGCUAAAUUGUUGAGUCCAAGUGAUAAUAGGCUUAGCUUGGAAAUUGUUGAGGAUGCUGGCGAACUUAGUACUUGCUCACUGGUUGUUGAAUCCUGCCCACCUAUUUUUUGCUUCUCACUAUUGUGUUUCUUUAAUUUACUGUAAUUUUCCUCUCUGUCCCUCUUUUUCUAUGUAAUUUAUAGGUUUUCUUAUAAGACAAUGUCCAAGCUUCAUUACUAGUUUGAUAACGAUCAAAUUCUUCAAGAAAAGCUUAUCUCACUAUCAAAUUAGGACUGAAUCCUAUCUUCAAAAAUUUUUUAUUCAAUUUCAAUAUGAAUUAUCAUCUAAGGAUGAUUAUACCCCCUAAUUAACUUUCGGC